rnacentral:lncRNA from 1 species
UAUAUUUUCACACUAUUAUAAAUAAGGAAAGAAUAAAACCCUAAAGGAUGCUAAAAUUUAAGACUUAUACAAACAACAACAAAAAUCUAUUUGCAAAGAAACAAGGAGAAGUAGAUAGAUACAAAUAACUGAAAAAAAAAUCAAGAGUAGGAAGGCAUCAGAGUGUCAAGGAAAAGUGUUCAAGAGGACUGAUGUUAAAGACUCUCUCUGAAAAUAGAAUCAAUAUAAGUUAUAAUGGAACUCAAUGAGUGACUGGAAUGAUAAUGAAGAAUGCAUUAGGAAUCCUUCUGAAUGGGACAUGAACGUCCUCUUCAAUCUAGUGGAGACUUACCAUGCCGUCCUUCAGAUCUAAACUUGGCAAGAGAAAUAAGGUAUCAUUUUACUACCAGCUGCGCACUCCAUGAAGGCAAGAAGUUCUCAUUCUGUCUGAAUGCUGAUUGGCUUCAGUUUAUAAAGAACCCGUUCCCCUGAAGCUGACUUAUUUACCCUUUUAUUUCUUUUCCUAUAAGCCUAUGUUAAACAAAAACUUGCUUGUCACUAGACAUCUUUUGGCUCACAUGAAAAUCACAGAGCAGAAGUGGAGAGAACUACUUUCUUGAUUAAGCAGUUAGAUCAUUUUUCUUAAAAGUGUCUAGGACUGCAUAUGGUCCAGUGCAUCUUUUCCUCCACAAUGGCCUCCAAAACCCUCCUCAGAAUAAAGUCCUUACUUUCUCAGAUAUCUUUUCA